UACGUAGGAGGCAAGCGUUGUCCGGAUUUACUGGGCGUAAAGAGCGUGUAGGCGGUUGGGCAAGUCUGCUGUGAAAUCUCCAGGCUCAACUUGGAGGGGUCAGUGGAAACUGCCAAACUUGAGGACGGUAGAGGGGGGUGGAAUUCCCGGUGUAGUGGUGAAAUGCGUAGAGAUCGGGAGGAACACCAGCGGCGAAGGCGGCCCCCUGGGCCGCUCCUGACGCUGAGACGCGAAGGCCAGGGUAGCGAACGGG
rnacentral:rRNA from 1 species